UGGGGUUCAAGUCCUUUCGUGAGCGGUAUGACAAUAAAUUUAUGUGUUGUUUAAGUAAAUUCAAAUGUUUUAAAAAAACUGUUGAGACUUAGUGGAUUAGUGGGCUUGUUAGAGAUUUGUUGGCAGGGGGUGUGGGGGUUUGAAUUUAAUUUCUUUUUCUUUUUCUUUCAAAUCAAAUUGUUCUCUUAUUUUUUUCAAUUUUUUUUGUAAACUAUUUUGAUUUCUCGUCUCUUUCUACCUUCGCUAUCCAUUUUUUCCCCCUUUCUUUUGUUCAUCGUUUCUUGCGCCACCUCUUGCCAUUUUGUUUCUAUUCCUUUGUGUUCUUUUAUUCCAUCGGUUCUGGGUGCCCGUCUGUUUGUG
rnacentral:lncRNA from 1 species